rnacentral:tRNA from 1 species
CUCUCUGUAGCUCAGUUGGUUAGAGCGCUGCACCGGAAUCGCAGGGCCGCAGGUUCAAUUCCUUCCAGAGGGC